AUGAACGCUGGCGGCGUGCCUAAUACAUGCAAGUCGAGCGAACAGACGAGGAGCUUGCUCCUCUGACGUUAGCGGCGGACGGGUGAGUAACACGUGGAUAACCUACCUAUAAGACUGGGAUAACUUCGGGAAACCGGAGCUAAUACCGGAUAAUAUAUUGAACCGCAUGGUUCAAUAGUGAAAGACGGUUUUGCUGUCACUUAUAGAUGGAUCCGCGCCGCAUUAGCUAGUUGGUAAGGUAACGGCUUACCAAGGCAACGAUGCGUAGCCGACCUGAGAGGGUGAUCGGCCACACUGGAACUGAGACACGGUCCAGACUCCUACGGGAGGUAGCAGUAGGGAAUCUUCCGCAAUGGGCGAAAGCCUGACGGAGCAACGCCGCGUGAGUGAUGAAGGUCUUCGGAUCGUAAAACUCUGUUAUUAGGGAAGAACAAAUGUGUAAGUAACUAUGCACGUCUUGACGGUACCUAAUCAGAAAGCUACGGCUAACUACGUG
rnacentral:rRNA from 1 species